UACGAAGGUGGCAAGCGUUACUCGGAAUUACUAGGCGUAAAGGGCAGGUGGGCGGUUUGAUGAGUCUGUUGUGAAAGCUCCCGGCUUAACUGGGAGAGGUCAACAGAUACUGUCGAACUUGAGUAUGGGAGAGGGUACUGGAAUUCCUGGUGUAGCGGUGAAAUGCGCAGAGAUCAGGAGGAACACCGAUGGCGAAAGCAGGUACCUGGACCAUUACUGACGCUCAGCUGCGAAAGCUAGGGGAGCAAACAGG
rnacentral:rRNA from 1 species